GGCCCGUUGGUCAAGUGGUUAAGACACCGCCCUUUCACGGCGGUAUCAGGGGUUCGAAUCCCCUACGGGUCA
rnacentral:tRNA from 1 species